rnacentral:tRNA from 1 species
UGUAAUUCAGUUGCAGAGUACUUGCCUUGCAUGCAUGAGGCCCUGGGUUCAAGCCCCAGCA